rnacentral:rRNA from 1 species
UACGGAGGGUGCAAGCGUUAUCCGGAUUCACUGGGUUUAAAGGGUGUGUAGGCGGGCUUUUAAGUCAGUGGUGAAAUCUCCGGGCUCAACCCGGAAACUGCCAUUGAUACUAUUAGUCUUGAAUUUUGUUGAGGUAGGCGGAAUAAGUCAUGUAGCGGUGAAAUGCUUAGAUAUGACUUAGAACACCAAUUGCGAAGGCAGCUUGCUAAACAAAUAUUGACGCUGAGGCACGAAAGCGUGGGGAUCAAACAGG